GAUGAACGCUAGCUGCAGGCUUAACACAUGCAAGUCGAGGGUGCGGCGCACGGGUGAGUAACACGUGUCCAACCUGCACUUUACUCGGGACUAGCCUGACGCAAGAAAGAUUAAUACCCGACAUAAAGUAUGGGGAUGCGUUCCAUUAGGUUGUUGGUGAGGGACCGGCAAAGCAAGCUUUCGAUGGGUAGGGGUUGUGAGAGGAAGGUACCCCAGACUGGAACUGAGGCCCGGACCAAAAUCCUACGGGAGGGUGGAGUAAAGGGUAUUGUUCACUGAGGCCUAGCCCGAACCAGCCAAGUAGCGUGAAGGAUGAAGGCGUAUUGGUCGUCAACUUGUUGUAUAUAAGAAGAUGUAUUAUAUGAAUAAGGAUCGGCUAACUCCGUGCCAGCAGCCGCGGUAAUUC
rnacentral:rRNA from 1 species